GUUGGUCAGUGCCAGACUCCAUUGUUUGGCUCCUACUGUGCCCAACUGGUCGUUCAAGAAUUGGAAUGCUUUUCAAUAAAAUUUUCUAAAUUUCAAAUUUUGGUGGGUGGUCACUAGUUAUUCCUGAACCUCAGACCCACUAUUUUGGGGGCUCGUCCAGGAUUUGGGAACUAUAAGCUUGGACCCCCUUUUCUGAGAAUAUUCGGGAAUAUUGGAUGGACCCCCUUUUCUGGGAAGAGCACUCGUCUGCUGUCGGACUUUGUGAAACCACAGGCUCUAAUCAGUCUUCUAGACACUGUCCUUUCACCCACCAACCUACUUGGGAUGAUUGUCAGCAGCUGUUGCAGGUCCUUUUUACCACUGAGGAGAGAGAACGGAUCCAAUAGGAAUGCCAUCAGCUGGUCCCAGGUGAUAAUGGGUGACCCACUGACAAUGAGGACCAGAUAGCUGCUUCCUUUACCCUUACCCGGCCUAUGAGAGGAUGGGACUACAACGUGGCUGAAGUCCAUGCAGGCACUGCAGACAUCCCAGGAUAAUAGCUUUCCCUUGUUGAGACAUGUAUAUGAGCUACCCCCAAUCUGGCCCCACGAGUUUAAGCCCAGGGACCUCAUCUGGGUCAAACGACAUUACAAGGAGACCCUUGGCCCCCAGUGGAAAGGACCCCAUACCGUGAUCCUGACUACAUCGACAGCAGUGAAGGGGUCCCCCCACCAACUGAAAAAUCUGACAUGGAUCCUCAGCAGCACUGCUACCGGGAAGACAGUGGCCUCUGUGUCUAGCCUGGCAUCGAUCGGGACCUGGUAUCUAGAUCUUCACUUUGACCUAUGUGAUCUCCUUGGACAGGACUGGGAUAUGGCCACAUAUGGAUGUGAUUGCCCUGCACCCCACAGUGCUCUCUGUAAACAGCAUUACUACGUAUGCUAAGAAAACAAUGCUAAGGAAAAAUGUUGGGGGGCUACUGACUAUUUCUGUGCCUCUUGGGAUUGUGUUUCCAUGGGUAGUAUUAAUUGGAACCCACCAGCUAAAGAUGACCUACUCCAAGAAAGUAGGGCCCCAGGGUCUUAUUUCCUAGGACUCAUAAGCCCCCCAGGGCUAUCCCAAGUCCCGGGAAUCAGAUUUGCUGAUAUCAGACAUUUGAUGAAGGGGCCAUGCUUAAAUUGUAGAUGCAAUCCUAUAAGGGUAAAAUUUACUCCCCUGGGGAGAGAGGUCAUUUGACAGACACUAUGGUUAAAUGGGGUGACAUGGGGAAUGAGAUUACAUGUCAACCAACAGGAUCCUGGAACCCAGUUUUCCAUCCAACUACAUGUCAGAACCGACACAGGGACCCCGAUUGGCCUCUUGUCACCUAAAGAAUCUUUAAACAUCCUACUACAGGCCCCUAGGGAUACCCCUACUACCCAGGCUCCUUCUUCCAAAGCUCCUACUACCCCUCCCUCAAUUAGGCAACAGGUGCCCCUGACCAUUCUAGAUGCUGUUUUUACCGUUUUAAAUCUCUCUGACUCUAAAUUAUCCUGGAGUUGCUGGUUCUGCCUAGAGCCCAGGCCCCCUUACUAUGAUGGUAUAGCAGUUCUGGGCACUUGCUCCUUCACCCCUGGUGUGAGUCAUUGUAGGACAGGCCCUCCUAUUGGAAGAACGGGCCUUGCCCUCACCCUAGACUACGAGUAAGGCUUAUGUGUUACUUCUAAGAGGGAAAGAUCCCACCCUCCCACCAACAUCUCUGUAGAUCUAAUUCUAGCCUCAUUCUAAAUAGUUCCCACCUAUACAUUGUUCCCCCCACUAACAACUGGUGGGCUUGUACUUCAGGGAUCACCACCUGUCUUCACUCCUUGGUAUGUGAUCAAACGAGGGAAUUCAGUGUGCUAGUACAGCUAGUCUCCCACCUUUUUUACAGGUCAGAUCUAGAAUUGGAGGCUCAGGUCACCAGAUGGGCCCAGCCAGGCAGAGAAAUAGCCAUGGUGGUUAUAGUUCUCUCCAUCCUUUUAGGAGUAGGAGUCUGCCCUAGUGGGCAUUGGAGCCUCGGCUCUGAUUUUGCAGGACCAUAAUUAUCAAGCCCUCCAAACGGCAAUAGAUACAGACCUCUGCAGCUUGGAAAACUCAAACACUUAGAGGAGUCUGUAUCCUCAUUAGCUGAAGUUGCCUAUCAAAACAGGAGGGGCCUAGAUCUCUUACUAGAGAAAGGGAGGUUAUGUGCUGCUUUGGGUUAACAAUGUUGCUUUUAUGUUAACCACUCGGGUGUGAGCAGACAGGCUCUAGCCGAGGUCAGCAGAUGCCUAAAAGAACAGGAGGAUGCUAGUGUCCAGCAACAACAUUGGUAUGAAUCCUUAUUCACAUGGUGCCCAUGGUUAACUACACUUAUUAGAGCACUUGUGGGGCCCCUAUUAAUAUUUUUGUUUGCCCUUACAUGUGGGCCAUGUCUGAUAAAUGCCCUCCUCAGGUUCAUAUGGACUGGGCUGGACACCAUCCAACUGAUGGUCCUCCAUACUCAGUACAGCCCAGUGGCCCAGAAAGGCCCUUUACCCCAGACAACUGCUGGCUAACUGCAAAACAUAUAGCUUCUGUAUAAUUGCUUGCUUGCUAUGUUUUAAAGAUUUAACCCAUGUUGCAACUCAAGGGGGAAAUGAAGGAUCCAGGUCACACUGGCUCCAUUUUUUAGCAGCCUCCAUCUUGUCAAUCUUAAGUCUCUGUUCCUAGAAACUGUAAGUCUCGUUUGCCCCAUACUGUGGGAUAAGAUUAGGCAAGCCCGGACAUGCCUUGUUUAUCUGAGUCUAAAGGAAAGCAACCGAAAUGCCUGACCAUAAAAGGGCAUCCAUAGGCCGAUAGGGGCACCCUACCAUAAAAGGAAAAAUUGAGACAUUCCAGGUGGCUGACCAUGACUAUAACCAAUGACAUUUCCCCCCGUACAAAAAAAAUCAGAGUUAACCAAUCAAAUCAAAGGUCACCCAGUUUGUGUGGGCUUUUUUAAGAGAAUUCCCCCCCAAAACCCUGCUCAUUGUUGGUUAGGGCCAGACCCCAUUCAUUGGCUCCUGGGGUCUGUGCCGGACUGGUCAUUCAAGAAUUAGAAUACUUUUCAUAAAUUUUGAAUUUUGGUGGGUGAUCUCCAGUUAUUCCCGAACCUUGGACCCAACAAGUUCUGGAUAGGAUUAUACGAAACAAUUCUGAUAAAUUCCUGAGCACAGUGUCUGGCACAAGGUGCUAUUAAAAAAAAAUAGUACUUUUCUUCUUUUUCUGAAACUGCCUUUUUUUAAAAAUAAAUAAUUUUG